UGGCAGAUUAAACCCACUUCAUCCCCCA
rnacentral:piRNA from 1 species